UACGUAGGCAGCGAGCGUUGUUCGGAGUUAUUGGGCGUAAAGAGCUCGUAGGCGGUUUGUCGCGUCUGCUGUGAAAACUCGGGGCUUAACUCCGGGCCUGCAGUGGGUACGGGCAGACUAGAGUGCGGUAGGGGAGACUGGAAUUCCUGGUGUAGCGGUGAAAUGCGCAGAUAUCAGGAGGAACACCGGUGGCGAAGGCGGGUCUCUGGGCCGUAACUGACGCUGAGAAGCGAAAGCGUGGGGAGCGAACAGG
rnacentral:rRNA from 1 species